rnacentral:rRNA from 1 species
AUGUUUCCCUCUUCUCCGCAGAAAAUGGCAAUGAUGGUGGAUCCCCCGAACGGCAUGGGAAACCACGGGAAGCACUACUACACCAUGUGGCAGACCAUGUUCGAGAUCGACACCAAGUACGUGCCGAUCAAGCCCAUCGGGAGAGGAGCCUACGGGAUAGUUUGCUCCUCGAUCAACCAGGAGACCAACGAGAAGGUCGCCAUCAAGAAGAUAAACAACGUCUUUGACAACCGCCUGGAUGCGCUGAGGACGCUGCGCGAGCUGAAGCUCCUUCGGCACCUGCGCCAUGAGAAUGUCAUUGCCUUGAAGGAUAUAAUGAUGCCGAUACAUAGGAGGAGCUUCAAGGAUGUCUACUUGGUCUCCGAGCUCAUGGACAUGGAUCUGCAUCAGAUAGUCAAGUCGUCUCAGCCGCUGUCCAAUGACCACUGCCAGUAUUUCCUUUUUCAGGUGCUCCGAGGACUGAAGUACCUUCAUUCAGCGGGGAUACUCCAUAGAGACCUGAAGCCUGGGAACCUUCUGGUCAAUGCGAACUGUGACCUGAAGAUCUGUGACUUUGGUCUGGCCCGCACAAAUAACACUAAAGGUCAGUUUAUGACAGAAUACGUUGUCACCCGCUGGUACAGAGCUCCCGAGCUGCUACUCUGCUGCGACAACUAUGGCACUUCCAUAGAUGUCUGGUCUGUUGGCUGCAUCUUUGCUGAGCUACUUGGCCGCAAGCCGAUCUUUCCAGGAACUGAGUGCCUUAAUCAGCUUAAGCUUAUAGUCAAUGUUCUUGGCACCAUGAGCAAGGCUGAUCUCGCGUUCAUUGACAACCCAAAAGCUGGCAACUACAUUAAAUCCCUUCCAUACACCCCGGGGAUGCCCCUCAGUAUCAUGUACCCGCACGCGCACCCUCUUGCCAUUGAUCUGUUGCAGAAGAUGCUUGUCUUCGACCCUUCCAAGAGGAUCAGUGUCACCCAGGCUCUGGAGCACCCCUACAUGUCCCCGCUGUAUGAUCCCAGCGCAAACCCUCCUGCUCAGGUGCCCAUCGAUCUCGACAUAGAUGAAAACAUUGGCACAGAUAUGAUCCGAGAAAUGUUGUGGCAGGAGAUGCUCCAGUACCACCCUGGGGCCGCCAGGAUGGUGAAUAUGUGA